rfam:Schistosoma margrebowiei strain Zambia genome assembly, scaffold: SMRZ_contig0000007
AUCCAGCUGACAAGUUCCAAAUAGGAUGAAACGCGUGUUCUGCAU